AAGUCGUAACAAGGUUUCCGUAGGUGAACCUGCGGAAGGAUCAUUAACACGUAUCCAAACGUUAAACCCCCCUGUGAACCUUCAGUCGUACUCGUACGUCCGUUAGAAAAAGCAGCAAUCCCUGGUAAAUCAUCGCCGAACAGUUUUCGAUUCAGGGACGUCUGCAAGGAGCGUGCAUGUUGUGCGUGUAAGUGGCCUGGCAUCCCCAAGCAGUUAGUGUCUGAAAGUGUCACUAACGUUAGUGUGUAAGGAUGACGCAGUCACGAUCGUUGGAGGCCCACACGGCCGACGACCGGGUCACUGGGUGCAAGCCCCUUUAUCACACCCCUGCUCUAUCUAUGGUGAUCCUGCGGGAAGUCCUGCGGUCGAACGCCGAAACCGAACAACUGUUAACAAUGGAUAUCUUGGUUCUC
rnacentral:misc_RNA from 1 species